GAUGAACGCUGGCGGCGUGCCUAAUACAUGCAAGUCGAGCGAACAGACGAUGAUCUUGCUCCUCUGACGUUAGCGGCGGACGGGUGAGUAACACGUGGAUAACCUACCUAUAAUACUGGGAUAACUUCGGGAAACCGGAUCUAAUACCGGAUAAUAUAUUGAACCGCAUGGUUCAAUAGUUAAAGACGGUUUUGCUGUCACUUAUAGCUGGAUCCGCGCCGCAUUAGCUAGUUGGUAAGGUAACGGCUUACCAAGGCAACGAUGCGUAGCCGACCUGAGAGGGUGAUCGGCAAGACUGGAACUGAGAAACGGUACAGAGGCCUACGGGAGGCAGCAGUAGGGAAUCUUCCGCAAUGGGCGAAAGGAUGACGGAGCAAAGCCGCGUGAGUGAUGAAGGUCUACGGAUCGUAAAACUCUGUUAUUAGGGAAGAAAAAAUGUGUAAGUAAAUAUGCACGUAUUGACGGUAACUAAUGAGAAAGCAACGGCUAACUACGUG
rnacentral:rRNA from 1 species